GUCCGCACCGUAAACGAUGAUUACUCGCUGCUAGAGGGCAACUUUUAGUGGCUUAGCGAAAGCGAUAAGUAAUCCACCUGGGGAGUACGCCGGCAACGGUGAAACUCAAAGGAAUUGACGGGGGCCCGCACAAGCGGAGGAGCAUGUGGUUUAAUUCGAUGAUACGCGAGGAACCUUACCAGGGCUUGAAAGUUAGGGAAUAACUCUGAAAGGAGUUAGUCAGCAAUGACCCGAAACUAGGUGCUGCAUGGCUGUCGU
rnacentral:rRNA from 1 species